rnacentral:sRNA from 1 species
UCAGCCUCAUCCCACCAGAAGAACGGUGGGCCUGGGCUGAGGUGGAGGCGCCAGAAGCUCCUGCAUUGCCCGUGGUGCCUGAACUCCCUGAGGUGCCCAUGGAGAUGCCUUUGGUGCUGCCCCCAGAGCUCGAGCUGCUCUCACUGGAAGCAGUGCACAGGUACCAGGGAGGUGGCACCUUGAUGGGGUGGACCCGGGCUGAAGCCUCUGCUAAUGGUUCUUGAUCUCUAUAGGGCAGUGGCACUGGAGCUGCAGGCUAACAGGGAGCCUGACUUCAGCAGCCUGGUGUCACCUCUCAGCCCCCGCAGGAUGGCUGCCCGGGUCUUCUACCUGCUCCUGGAUUCUUCACGUGAAACAAGAAAAGCCAUAUGGUCGCCUCCUGAUCCAGCCGGGGCCCAGAUUCCACUGAGGUUAGAGUCCAUUUACAAAGCUGCCAGAAAACCGGCCACUUCUAGUAAACCACGUCGUGCCUCACUGGGUCCUGCUUACCUCAUUUCUGAAUGUGCAUUUCCAGCCUUCUUGCUCUCAGAGCUAUUGUUCAAGCAGAAAACAAGCUGCUUUUAUUAC